GACUCUCGGCAACGGAUAUCUCGGCUCACGCAUCGAUGAAGAACGUAGCAAAAUGCGAUACUUGGUGUGAAUUGCAGAAUCCCGUGAACCAUCGAGUUUUUGAACGCAAGUUGCGCCCGAAGCCUUUCGGUUGAGGGCACGUCUGCCUGGGCGUCACAC
rnacentral:rRNA from 2 species